rnacentral:rRNA from 1 species
UACGGGGGGGGCAAGCGUUGUUCGGAAUUACUGGGCGUAAAGGGCUUGUAGGUGGCCAACUAAGUCAGACGUGAAAUCCCUCGGCUUAACCGGGGAACUGCGUCUGAUACUGGAUGGCUGGAGUGUGGGAGAGGGAUGCGGAAUUCCAGGUGUAGCGGUGAAAUGCGUAGAUAUCUGGAGGAACACCGGUGGCGAAGGCGGCAUCCUGGACCGACAUUGACGCUGAGGAGCGAAAGCUAGGUGAGCAAACGGG